rnacentral:rRNA from 1 species
UACGUAGGGGGCAAGCGUUAUCCGGAUUUACUGGGUGUAAAGGGAGCGUAGACGGAUUAGCAAGUCUGAUGUGAAAGGCAGGGGCUCAACCCCUGGACUGCAUUGGAAACUGCCAGUCUUGAGUGCCGGAGAGGUAAGCGGAAUUCCUAGUGUAGCGGUGAAAUGCGUAGAUAUUAGGAGGAACACCAGUGGCGAAGGCGGCUUACUGGACGGCAACUGACGUUGAGACUCGAAAGCGUGGGGAGCAAACAGG